rnacentral:tRNA from 1 species
GCCCGUGCGGCCCCUGAAACUCCCUCCUAAGGAGUAGGCCGCUGGUUCGAAUCCAGCUCGGGGCA